CUCCUUCAGACCACCGCCAGCCACCCCUCCGCCGCCGCAGAUGGACGCCGCCGGUGGGAUUGACAGCCCGAGGAUGAGUGGUUCACAGUCACAGCCACCAGCUAAACCAGCCCCAGAAAAGUUUGCUAUCCUCUCUCUCUGUGUAUAAUCCCACAGAGGGGAACUGCUAGCUGCAAGAAAGAUUUGCUGGCAAAGGGGAACUGUACCUCCUCAUUGCUGAGGAGUUUUUCUGAUUUUAUUGCUGAGGAGAAACUAGGGUUAGUCGAGAACAAGGUUAAGCUCUCGACUCGUGCGCCGUCGGCCAGGACUAGAAUUCGCCGUUCGAUUCACCGUCGAAGUGAAGGGGAGGUUGAGAGAGACAAGUUACGAAUUUUCUUCUCAGAUUGGCUCUAGUGUUGUUCAACUCGUGUAUUUUGAAUGAUUUGUUUUUAAUAACUUAUUUUCAUCUCAUUUACUUUUAUUAAUAUUAUUUAUUUUGUAUUUUAAA